GACGAACGCUGGCGGCGUGCCUAACACAUGCAAGUCGAGCGAUGAAGAUUGGCUCUCGCACCAAUUUGAAGAGCAGCGGACGGGUGAGUAACGCGUGGGGAAUCUGCCUUUGAGCGGGGGGCAACAUAUGGAGACGAAUGCUAAUACCGCAUAAUAACUUUAAAGAUAAGGUUUAAGUGUGAAAGCGGUAAUUGCUUCACUCAAGGCUGAUCACGCGUUGUAUUAGCUAGUUGGUGAGGUAAAGGCUCACCAAGGCGAUGAUACAUAGCCGACCUGAGAGGGUGGUCGGCGACAUUGGGACUGAGACACGGCCCAAACGACUAAGGGAGGGAGCAGUAGGGAAUCUUCGGCAAUGGACGAAAGUCUGGCCCAGCAACGGCGCGUGAGGUGAGGAGGGUUUCGGAUCGGAAAACUCGGUUGGGAGAGGAGAACGUUGGUGAGAGUGGAAAGCUCAUCAAGUGACGGUACCUACCCAGAAAGCACCGGCUAACUACGUG
rnacentral:rRNA from 1 species